rnacentral:lncRNA from 1 species
UGCGCAAAGCGUCCCUCACCUGUGACGUCACAGCGUCAUCCGCCGCCAGGAACAUCAACAAAGCGGUCAGUUUGUGGUCCGUGCAGUCAGCAAGAAGACAAACGCUUCAUGCAAUCACGCAAAUAUUAUCAUGAUUUUGAUGCUGCAAACCGGAGAUGCAUAGCUGCGGAAGACACGUCUGAAGUGGAAACUUAAAACGAAGCUUCAGAUAUGAAGCAAAGAAUGCCAAGAAUAACAAAUAUAAGAGAUUCCAGAUUUCCGAAGUACUGAAACGCACACCAUACAGGCUUGGUGGAUCUCGGUGCAAGGUAAAAUAAUUUAUUUACUUGUACAGUAUAUAUUUUUAGCUAAUUAUCAGUAUAUAAAACCACAGUACUUAAUUUUAUCAGUGUCAAAGACACAAUUACAUCUUACUCAUAAAUACUAUUAUAUACCUCACUUGUGGUAACAUAUACACACAUUAAGUGUAUUAUGUAGCAUUAUCUGUAAUCAACUGAUUUUCAGAGCUGCUCAUUACAAAAUACUCUUUUAAAAAAGUGUU